UACGUAGGGUGCAGGCGUUAAUCGGAAUUACUGGGCGUAAAGCGUGCGUAGGCGGUUUGUUAAGACAGGUGUGAAAUCCCCCGGGCUUAACCUGGGAACUGCGCUUGUUACUGGCAGACUGGAGUGUGGCAGAGGGGGGGUGGAAUUCCAGGUGUAGCAGUGAAAUGCGUAGAUAUCUGGAGGAACACCGAUGGCGAAGGCAGCCCCCCUGGGCUAACACUGACGCUGAUGCACGAAAAGCGUGGGGGAGCAAACAGG
rnacentral:rRNA from 1 species